rnacentral:ncRNA from 1 species
AGGUUCCUUGUGUCACGGGGUGGUGCAAGGAUCAAAAGGGAACCAGGUGAGAGUCCUGGACAGUACCCGCUGCUGUAACUCCCUUGACGACACAUCGCUCGGCAUGCGUGCCACUGGGCUGCAAUCAUCUCUUGCUUGCAUCAUCACCGGGAAGGCGCCGACGCGAUGGGGGAGAAGUCAGAAGACCUGCCUUCAC